rnacentral:rRNA from 1 species
AGUGAACGCUGGCGGUAGGCCUAACACAUGCAAGUCGAACGGCAGCACAGUAAGAGCUUGCUCUUACGGGUGGCGAGUGGCGGACGGGUGAGGAAUACAUCGGAAUCUACUUUUUCGUGGGGGAUAACGUAGGGAAACUUACGCUAAUACCGCAUACGACCUACGGGUGAAAGCAGGGGAUCUUCGGACCUUGCGCGAUUGAAUGAGCCGAUGUCGGAUUAGAUAGUUGGCGGGGUAAAGGCCCACCAAGGCGACGAUCCGUAGCUGGUCUGAGAGGAUGGUCGGCCACACUGGAACUGGGACACCGUCCAGACUCCUACGGGAGGCAGCAGUGGGGAAUAUUGGACAAUGGGCGCAAGCCUGAUCCAGCCAUACCGCGUGGGUGAAGGAGGCCUUCGGGUUGUAAAGCCCUUUUGUUGGGAAAGAAAAGCAGCAGGUUAAUACCCCGCUGUUCUGACGGUACCCAAAGAAUAAGCACCGGCUAACUUCGUG